rnacentral:lncRNA from 1 species
GGUGAUGUAUCCCUACAAGCCACGAGCCUUGAUAAACAACAAGCACGACCUUGACCAAGUAAGGUAAUUAUGUCUAUCAAGCUUCACAAGACUAAUUUGCAACAAGGGAUUAUCGAUUGAAAUCACGAGCUUCUCAUCAUUAAACAUAAUGCUGGAAAGAAACAACUAAUACCCAAAAAAGCUACUUGGAAAAUUAGGGGAAAAAAACACCCAAAAAGAACACAAAAGAGAUCCUAAAAAAAGAGAUCCCAAAAAAAACUUAGCAAAAAA